CCUUUGGAGUGUACAAGAACUUGUGAGUAGUUUCAGGCUUGCCUGGGCAAAAGCAUACACGAUGAAUAAGGAA
rnacentral:sRNA from 20 species